rnacentral:rRNA from 1 species
UACAGAGGGGGCAAGCGUUAUUCGGAAUUAUUGGGCGUAAAGGGCGCGUAGGCGGCCUGGCAAGUGGAAGGUGAAAUCCCUCGGCUUAACCGAGGAACUGCCCUCCAAACUGCUUGGCUUGAGACCGGGAGAGGUGAGUGGAAUUCCCAGUGUAGCGGUGAAAUGCGUAGAUAUUGGGAGGAACACCAGUGGCGAAGGCGGCUCUCUGGGACGGUACUGACGCUGAGACGCGAAAGCGUGGGGAGCGAACAGG